CCGCCCGCUAAGUUACCAGCCUGUUUGCUUGCUGUCCGCCAGCUUGCCUGUCUGCCCUGACCACGCUCCAGUACGCCUUAUCAGAUUUCCUCUGAGCCUGGAAUACCCGCCUGCUCCCGGACCCUCCCUGGCCUUCCCUGAGCACUCUAAUAAAACCUUGCCAGUGUACUUGUCAACCAUCUUGUGUCCGCUUCUGAAUCCUUUCUGUGUAACCCAACAGUACGAACUGGCCACGAUGGAUUCAGCGGAAACCAUGGAAAUGGCUGACACAACGGAAGCAGCCCCGAGACGCCAAUCUGCUCUCGCCAGCCAAGGAGUCCUCCUCGGGGGACAAGACCAAUCCAUCCGGACCCUUAUGAAUGCACAACAAGGUACUAACGAACUAAUUGCUUGCCUAUCUGAUCAAGUUACUGCACUGUUGCAAUUAGUCUCUUCCACUCAGUCCUCUUCGCGGCCCACUUCUCCACCCUCGGUUUCGACUGAAUCCUAUACCCCCGAUCCUGAGCCUUUCUCUGGAGUUUUCCCUGUGCCGUGGUUUCCUGCUUCAGUGUGCCAUGGUGUUCACCCAACGGCCGCGGACCUUCGACACUGAUGCCUCUAAGGUACGCUAUAUUCUGGGCCUGUUAAGAGGGAGAGCACUAGCUUAGGCUGAAGCAGUUAGCGUAAAUACCCCGAUUACCACCCUGUCUCUGCCCCAGAUUAACUUAUGCUCCGGGAGGUUUUUGAUCACUGCGGUGAUGCAUCCCGCCACCUGCUGGAGCUCUGGCAGGGAGCCCGUACAGUGGCUGAUUUCUCCGGGAAUUCAGAGCCGACGCCGGCUGGAAUGAUGCGGCACUGCGGGGAGUUUUCAGAAAGGGACUAAAUGAGGCAAUUAAGGAUGAUUUAGCAUCACGGGAUGAGCCUACCAGUUUGAACUCUCUAAUCUCUCUAUCAGGCUCGACAAUCGCCUGCGUGAGCAGCAGAGGGAGCGUUCAACCCAGUCCACUUCCGAACCCCAACCAUGUCACCCAGUUACCUGCGAUCCUCCCAUGUUCCUAGCCACUUCCUCUAUGCCACAAUCCCCUUCCAGCUCCUUACCGGAACCCAUGCUGCUGGGUCGGGCUGUGCUGACACCAGAGGAACACUCCCGCGGACGAAACCGGGGUGAGUGCCUCUAUUGUGGCGUCAAGGGCCACUUUGUUUCCUCGUGCCCAGUUCGACCAAAAGGUCGGACUCCUCAGUAGGCGUGGGCAUACUGGGGGGUCAACUCCUUAGCCCCACUACGACACCCCUGUGGCUGUCUAUCCCGGCCACUUUAUGCACCCCCUCGAUUUCCCUGUCACUCCAAGCCCUUAUUGAUUCCGGCGCUGAGGGCAAUUUCAUUGAUAGAAAUCUGGCCAUACAAUCUUCCCGCUAGAACCACUCCCUGAGCCCUAUACUGCCCGGGCCGUAGAUGGUCGCUUCCUAACCUACGUUUCAGAAUCAACAAAACCCCUUAGACUAGUUUUGUCUGGAAAUCACCAUGAGGACAUCCUGUUUAAUGUUAUCUCCGCCCCUCAGACCCCAUCAUUUUAGGGUUUCCCUGGCUCAAACUUCACAAUCCCCAUAUUGACUGGGUCACCGGCAAGAUUCUGGGCUGGAGCACUUACUGCUCCUCCUCCUGUCUCCAAUCCGCGCUACCCCCAGCAGAGGGCGCCACUCCCCCAGGAGACUGAGUCCCCGGAUUUAUCUGGAGUUCCCCCUGAAUAUCAUGACCUGGAAACAAUAUUCAGCAAGGAUCUGGUGCUGUCUCUCCCACCUCACCAACCAUACGACUGCGAGAUCAAACUACUCCCCGGUGCCCCACUCCCAUCCAGCAGGCUCUACAAUCUUUCUCGCUCUGAGAGGGAGGCCAUGGAAACAUGCAUUCUUGACUCCCUUAAGACUCGUCUGAUCCGCCCCUCCUCCUGUUGGCGCAGGGUUCUUUGUUUCCAAGAAAAGUCUCUUCGGCCCUGUAUUGAUUACCGUGGCCUCAACUGUCAAGAACAAGUAUCCUUUGCCACUGAUCGACUCUGCUUUUGAACCCCUGCAGCAGGCCAAGGUCUUUUCCAAACUGGAUCUUCGCAAUGCCUACCACUUGGUGCGUAUAAAAGAGGGAGGGAAGACUGCAUUCAACACCCCGCUCGGCUACUUUGAGUAUCAGGAUAUCACUGAGCAUGUUUCCCACGUCCGCCAGGUUCUUCAGCAGCUGCUAGAAAACAGGUUGUACGUAAAGGCCGAGAAGUGUGAAUUCCAGUUCUGUGAGCUUCUUGGGCUACAUCAUUGGGCAGGGGCAGUUGCAGGCAGAUCCAGGCAGUGGUUGGGUGGCCAGUUCCAGGUUCCUGCAAACGGCUACAACAAUUUCUGGGAUUUGCUAACUUCUACUGAAGGUUUAUCAGGGACUACAGUAAGGUCGCAGCCCCCCUAACCAGACUAACUUCCACCAAAUCACCCUUCUCCAGGUUGCCUUCAACAAAUCCCUGUUUACGUCAGCCCCCAUCCUAGUACAUCCAGAUCCCACCAAGCAGUUUAUCGUCAAGGUUGAUGCAUCGGACAGCGGGGUGGGGGCCGUGCUGUCCCAACACUCUGGCCCCGGUCAGAAGAUUGUGCUUUCUUCUCAUGUCGUUUAACCUCCGCUGAGAGAAAUUACGAUGUAGGAGACCGGGAACUUCUAGCAGUGAAGCUGGCGUUGGAGUGGCGGCACAGGCUAGAGGGCACUGAACAGCCCCUCAUUGUUUGGACAGAUCAUAAAAACCUCACCUACAUUCAGACCGCCAAGAGACUCAACUCUUGCCAGGCACAUUUAACUUUACCUUGACUUACAGACCCAGCUCCCAAACACUAAACCUGAUGCCCUCUCCAGGAAUGUUUCCCUCGCCCACGGAUACUCCCAGUCCUGACACCAUCCUUCCCCCCCAGCUGUGUGGUGACGGCCAUUUCCUGGGAGAUUGAGUCAGUCGUAAGGGAGGCCCAACGCUCCCAUCCGGACCCAGGUAACGGUCCUGCUAACUGUUUGUUUGUCCCUGAUCCAGUCUGCUCUCAGGUCCUGCAGUGGAUCCACAACUCCCGUUUCGCCUGCCACCCCGGUUACCAAAGAACCCUGUCCCUGCUGAAGAGUUUCUGGUGGCCCACCAUGGAAGCGAUACACGGGAGUUAAUGUCAGCCUGCACAGUCUGUGCCCGGGGAAAAUCUUCUCGCCCCUCCUUCGGUGAGCUUCGACCGUGGUCUCACAUUGCCCUAGACUUCGUCACCGGCCUACCUCCAUCCCAAGGUAACAACACCAUACUCACCAUUGUAGACCGUUUAUCCAAGUCUGUCCACUUUGUCGCUCUACCCAAGUUGCCCACAGCUCGUGAAACCGCUGAUCUCCUCGUCCAGCAUGUGUUCCACCUUCAUGGAAAUCCCCUGGAUAUCGUGUCAGACAGAGGUCCACAGUUCAUCUCCAAGGUAUGGAGUGAGUUUUGUCAGUCUCCUCUCCAUUCCAUCCUUAGACUAAUGGACAAGCUGACAGGGCAAACUAAGACCUGGAGUCAGCCCUACAAUGUGUUGCUGCCCAAAACACCCAUUCUUGGAGCUCUCACCUGGCCUGGGUCAAAUACACCCAUAACUCCCUCGUCAGUGCGGCCACAGGCCUGUCACCGUUCGAGGCCUCUCUGGACUACCAACCCCCCCUGUUUCCGGCUCAGGAAAGAGACCUCACAGUGCCGUUGGUCCAACACAACCUCCGCCGCUGUUGCAAGGUCAGGAGGGACACUCGGGCCGCCCUCCUCAGGUCUACAGAGAACAACCGCCGCCUGGCAGACCAAUAUAGGAUCCUGGAUCCUGAAUAGAAGCAAGGUGGUUUGUCCAAUCUGCACCAAGGCCUUUCCCAAAAAUGAGAUCAGUCUGUGUGGAGAGAGCAUUGAAGAUGUAUUACGCUUUCUUGAACAGUUGACAUCACAACAGAAUUUAAAUUGUGUGUGUGUGGACAAAGAAGCCCUUCCAGACAGAGGCAUUGUCCAGUGGCAUAGGAAAAAAGCUGCAUCUCCUACCAGUACUCUGAAGGUGGUGUAAAUAGGGGAGGCAGGUGUUGAUACAGGAGCACUAAGGAAAGUUUUUGACUGAACUGUUGGCGAAAUAAUGGCAAUCAGCCUUGCCCAAGGUGGCCCAGCUCCUGCAUUUUUGAAAGAGGUGCUACAACUUCCUCUGCAUGGGAGAAUCUUCCCAGCUCAUCAGCAGGAGCAAUUGUCUUGCACUCCUCAACAAGACUGAUUCCAAUGCUGCAGCAAUAGAGUGCAUGGAACUGUAUGGUCUGGUGAACCAGAUGGCUGCAAAACCCGAAACUUGACACACCCUGUUUGUUCCUGGGAAGAUCACCAGACCUGAUGCAGAUUUCAUCAUCAUUGAAAUGUCAUUGUUGGUUUGACAGCAUGUGCAAGAACUAUGUACAAGUCAUAACCAUGUGACUGAGAAUGUUCCAGAGGAUUGAUGGUUCAACAACUGUAUCAUUAGUCUUCUUGCAGUACAGCACUCUCCCAGUCAAUGCCUGGAUCCUGAAGCUCCUUCCAAUUCAGAAACACA